GCCUUCGUGGUGUAGUGGUCCAGCACGCUCGACGCGAAUUCGAGAGGUCCGUGGUUCGAGUCCCAGCGAGUGCA